UACGUAGGGUGCGAGCGUUAAUCGGAAUUACUGGGCGUAAAGCGUGCGCAGGCGGUUUUGUAAGCCAGAUGUGAAAUCCCCGGGCUUAACCUGGGAAUGGCGUUUGGGACUGCAAGGCUCGAGUGCGGCAGAGGAGACUGGAAUUCCUGGUGUAGCAGUGAAAUGCGUAGAUAUCAGGAGGAACACCGAUGGCGAAGGCAGGUCUCUGGGCUGACACUGACGCUCAUGCACGAAAGCGUGGGGAGCAAACAGG
rnacentral:rRNA from 1 species